UACGAAGGUGGCAAGCGUUGUUCGGAUUUACUGGGCGUAAAGGGAGCGUAGGUGGUUAGGUAAGCCCUCCGGGAAAUCUUCAGGCUUAACCUGAAAAGGUCGGGGGGGACUGCCUGGCUAGAGUCCGGUAGGGGAGCGUGGAAUUCCUGGUGUAGCGGUGAAAUGCGCAGAUAUCAGGAGGAACACCAGCGGCGAAGGCGGCGCUCUGGGCCGGAACUGACGCUGAGGAGCGAAAGCGUGGGUAGCAAACAGG
rnacentral:rRNA from 1 species